GCCCCCUUAGCUCAACUGGAUAGAGUGCCUGGCUUCGAACCAGGAGGUUGCGGGUUCGACUCCUGCAGGGGGCG
rnacentral:tRNA from 1 species